CGGUUGAUCCUGCCGGAGGUCACUGCUAUCUUGGUUCGAUUAAGCCAUGCGAGUCGAGAGGGUUCGGCCCUCGGCGUACUGCUCAGUAACACGUGGAUAACCUGCCCUAGGGAAGGGGAUAAUCCCGGGAAACUGGGGAUAAUACCCUAUAGGUUACAGAUGCUGGAAUGCUCUGUAAUCAAAAGUUCCGGCGCCCUAGGAUGGAUCUGCGGCCGAUUAGGUUGUUGUUGGGGUAAUGGCCCAACAAGCCAGUAAUCGGUACGGGUUGUGGGAGCAAGAGCCCGGAGUUGGAUUCUGAGACACGAAUCCAGGCCCUACGGGGCGCAGCAGGCGCGAAAACUUUACAAUGCGGGCAACCGUGAUAAGGGAACCUCGAGUGCCUGUAAAUGCAGGCUGUUCAGAUGCCUAAAACACAUCUGGAGAAAGGGCCGGGCAAGACCGGUGCCAGCCGCCGCGGUAAUACCGGCGGCUCGAGUGGUGGCCACUUUUAUUGGGCUUAAAGCGUUCGUAGCUGGGUUGUUAAGUCUCUUGGGAAAUCUGGCGGCUUAACCGUCAGGCGUCUAAGGGAUACUGGCAAUCUUGGAACCGGGAGAGGUGAGGGGUACUUCGGGGGUAGGAGUGAAAAUCCUGUAAUCCUCGAGGGACCACCUGUGGCGAAGGCGCCUCACCA
rnacentral:rRNA from 1 species